rnacentral:rRNA from 1 species
GACGAACGCUGGCGGCGUGCUUAACACAUGCAAGUCGAACGGAAAGGCCCUGCUUGCCGGGUACUCGAGUGGCGAACGGGUGAGUAACACGUGGGUGAUCUGCCCUUCACUUCGGGAUAAGCUUGGGAAACUGGGUCUAAUACCGGAUAGGACCGCACUUUAGUGUGUGUGGUGGAAAGUUUUUUCGGUGUAGGAUGAGCUCGCGGCCUAUCAGCUUGUUGGUGGGGUAAUGGCCUACCAAGGCGGCGACGGGUAGCCGGCCUGAGAGGGUGUACGGCCACAUUGGGACUGAGAUACGGCCCAGACUCCUACGGGAGGCAGCAGUGGGGAAUAUUGCACAAUGGGCGCAAGCCUGAUGCAGCGACGCCGCGUGGGGGAUGAAGGCCUUCGGGUUGUAAACUCCUUUCGCUAGGGACGAAGCUUUUUGUGACGGUACCUAGAUAAGAAGCACCGGCUAACUACGUG